ACUAACAAGGAUUCCCCUAGUAACUGCGAGUGAAGCGGGAAAAGCUCAAAUUUAAAAUCUGGCGGUCUUUGACCGUCCGAGUUGUAGUCUGGAGAAGUGCUUUCCGCGCUGGACCGUGUACAAGUCUCUUGGAACAGAGCGUCAUAGAGGGUGAGAAUCCCGUCUUUGACACGGACUACCAGUGCUUUGUGAUGCGCUCUCAAAGAGUCGAGUUGUUUGGGAAUGCAGCUCAAAAUGGGUGGUAAAUUCCAUCUAAAGCUAAAUAUUGGCGAGAGACCGAUAGCGAACAAGUACCGUGAGGGAAAGAUGAAAAGCACUUUGGAAAGAGAGUUAAACAGUACGUGAAAUUGCUGAAAGGGAAACGCUUGAAGUCAGUCGCGUUGGCCAGGACUCAGCCUUGCUUUUGCUUGGUGCACUUUCUGGUUGACGGGCCAGCAUCGAUUUUGACCGCUGGAAAAAGGUUGGGGGAAUGUGGCACCUUCGGGUGUGUUAUAGCCCUCAGUCACAUACGGUGGUUGGGAUCGAGGACCGCAGCACGCCUUCAUGGCCGGGGUUCGCCCACGUUCGUGCUUAGGAUGCUGGCGUAAUGGCUUUAAACGACCCGUCUUGAAACACGGACCAAGGAGUCUAACAUGCCUGCGAGUGUUUGGGUGGAAAACCCGAGCGCGUAAUGAAAGUGAAAGUUGAGAUCCCUGUCGCGGGGAGCAUCGACGCCCGGACCUGAACUUCGGUGAUGGCUCUGCGGUAGAGCAUGUAUGUUGGGACCCGAAAGAUGGUGAACUAUGCCUGAAUAGGGUGAAGCCAGAGGAAACUCUGGUGGAGGCUCGUAGCGAUUCUGACGUGCAAAUCGAUCGUCAAAUUUGGGUAUAGGGGCGAAAGACUAAUCGAACCAUCUAGUAGCUGG
rnacentral:rRNA from 2 species